rnacentral:rRNA from 1 species
UACGUAGGGUGCAAGCGUUGUUCGGAAUCAUUGGGCGUAAAGCGCGUGUAGGCGGCUACUUAAGUCUGGUGUGAAAGCCCGGGGCUCAACCCCGGAAGUGCACUGGAUACUGGGUAGCUAGAGGACGAGAGAGGAAGGUGGAAUUCCAGGUGUAGGGGUGAAAUCCGUAGAUAUUCGGAGGAACACCAGUGGCGAAGGCGGCCCCCUGGACAGAUACUGACACUCAGAUGCGAAAGCGUGGGGAGCAAACAGG